rnacentral:ribozyme from 14 species
UGCGAAGGAGCCUGUGGCAAGCAGGCCGGUCGAUGGGACAGAAAUGACACCGUCCAGCCGAACGCUGCUGAGGGCACCAACCUCGUUGAGGGACACGCGCUGCGCGGAGCGCGAGACGACGAUGCAA